rnacentral:rRNA from 1 species
ACAGUCGAACGAUGAAGCCCUUCGGGGUGGAUUAGUGGCGAACGGGUGAGUAACACGUGGGCAAUCUGCCCUGCACUCUGGGACAAGCCCUGGAAACGGGGUCUAAUACCGGAUACUGAUCGCCUUGGGCAUCCUUGGUGAUCGAAAGCUCCGGCGGUGCAGGAUGAGCCCGCGGCCUAUCAGCUUGUUGGUGAGGUAAUGGCUCACCAAGGCGACGACGGGUAGCCGGCCUGAGAGGGCGACCGGCCACACUGGGACUGAGACACGGCCCAGACUCCUACGGGAGGCAGCAGUGGGGAAUAUUGCACAAUGGGCGAAAGCCUGAUGCAGCGACGCCGCGUGAGGGAUGACGGCCUUCGGGUUGUAAACCUCUUUCAGCAGGGAAGAAGCGAAAGUGACGGUACCUGCAGAAGAAGCGCCGGCUAACUACGUGCCAGCAGCCGCGGUAAUACGUAGGGCGCGAGCGUUGUCCGGAAUUAUUGGGCGUAAAGAGCUCGUAGGCGGCUUGUCGCGUCGGUUGUGAAAGCCCGGGGCUUAACCCCGGGUCUGCAGUCGAUACGGGCAGGCUAGAGUUCGGUAGGGGAGAUCGGAAUUCCUGGUGUAGCGGUGAAAUGCGCAGAUAUCAGGAGGAACACCGGUGGCGAAGGCGGAUCUCUGGGCCGAUACUGACGCUGAGGAGCGAAAGCGUGGGGGAGCGAACAGGAUUAGAUACCCUGGUAGUCCACGCCGUAAACGGUGGGCACUAGGUGUGGGCGACAUUCCACGUCGUCCGUGCCGCAGCUAACGCAUUAAGUGCCCCGCCUGGGGGAGUACGGCCGCAAGGGCUAAAACUCAAAGGAAAUUGACGGGGGGCCCG